GGGAUUCAACUGUCAUCUCAUAAAUAAUAUUAGAGUUACAUCACGCAUUUAUUCAAACAAGGUAGUUCCACUACGUACAACAAAACAUGAGAAAAGGCUAUGCUACCCCGCAAGCUUGCCGACGAUCACGACCACGCCUCAGUCUUCUGGAUAGUUCACGUACAAGCGGUCGUUCUCUUCAUCGUACUGCCAUGCCAGCUGCGUGCCGUCAGGAUCACCUGUGUCGGGCGUACCUAUACAUGUUGGUGUGUUGAAGUAAUCUGUGAGCCACGGGGACUCAGCAAUCUAUGACCUCGGUGCCAGAACUAUUUAAGUUAUUAGGUAAGGAAGGUUCAGUGUUUAGGUUGCAGCAUCCUAAGCAUUUAUGGUGGCUAAAUUACGUAUAACAAGUGUUAAAGGUGGUCUAUACUAGCGGAUGAAGACUAGCUAAUCAGUAAGUGAUCCUGAACACCUACUUACAUCAAUCAUAACCCCACCGUGUUCCCAACCGAAGAGAGGUCUUCGAGGGGGACAGUCACGGUUACGCACACACUUGGCAAUUUUAUUAGAUUAUGUUCAAGUUAUCUAUAACCGGAUGUUAACAAAUAUUCCAAGUUGCCAAAUAACCGCGGGCACGGCUUUCCAAAAGAUUAAACCCUACAGGGGUGCUCCAACUAGUCCAUCACAAACGGUCACGGGCCGCAAAGUAAUCCUCUAUCACGAAACUCGUGAUCUCGUCUGAUUCCUUAGAGGAAAACCUCAACUAUGGGGUGAACCAAAGCUUCACCGGGAUUCCUAUACGCAAGAUAUAUCACUAAGGUAAGACAACUCUAGCAGGACCUCCCGUCCUGUCGACGACCCCGAUAAGAGCCGUGUAUCUCAGUCUCAGGACACGACGGAUGGAAAAGCCUACAGGAACCAAACCUCAAGUUUCCCUGUGGUGGCCCCGCAGUCUGUCCAUUUUGGACCAACACUCAUGAGGAGCACUGGCCCGGGUUGUUGAUUAAUUCCUUGGGGUAGCUAUUCCCUAUGCAGAUUAUUAUUAAGUGAUUAGCAAAUUAACACCAAUGUUGGGUCUUGCCGGACAAGUCUUAACACUACACGAUUUAUCAAGGGGUCCCCAUAACAACCCCGAACGUGUUAGGAGCGAUCAGUUAUGGAAUCAAACACCGGUAGCCGGAAACUAUGGCGGCAAUAACGGAACAAAACACCCGACAAAAGGCUAGGCCUUCCGUUAUUUACCAAGUAUAUAGGUGUAUUAAUUAAAUAACAGAAUUAACAUAAUGAUACCAAACUCAUGUUAUCACAUGACACAAUUGCACCUGCAACUAGCAACACUAACAUUAGUAGCUGAGCAAAGCCUACUUAGCCAUUCAAGAUUUGCUAGGAAGGGAUAAGUGUUUGGGUUUCAUGGCAAUAUCAGGAGGCAAUUAUUUCAGUGGUAGGCAGCGAGCAUAUGACGAAGGAAACGUGAAUCUAGCAUAACAAGUCUAGAGACGGAAUCAAGGUCAUAUCAUCUUGUGUGUGAUGUCCUCAGCUUGGAACUGCUCUUGUUCGUCCUGCACGUACUCUCUCGGAUCCACGUACUCGCUCUCCGAUCCCGGUGCUACCCAACAUAAGAAUAGCAUCCAAUGAACAACAGCACCACAAGAUGCAACAAGAACAUGAUGCAUGAGAUGAAAUGAAUAUGCAUCUCUAUUCUAGUCACUUGCACAGACAUGAGAAGAAAAUAUAAGUUCCUAGACAGAACUGCACUCUAAGCUAUCUUGACAUGCAUGAGGAUGACAUGAAUAGAUGCGUCACACGAAAACGAUGCAAAAACUUAUGAAGAACGUUACAAACGGAGCUACGGAACAACCGGAAACAUCGGAACAAGAAAUGGAGUCCUACGUAUCAAAUCCAUCACAACACACUCCAAUGGUAUACUUCUUGUAUUCCCAGGUUGCCAAGACAUAAAACAAACAAGUAUGGAUGGGCUGGUGCAAGGAAUCUCACCACACCAUCAACCAUGCACUCACAAGAAUCAAAACAUCAAAACUAUACAAUCUGCCAAAAACAGCAUCAUAGCAGUUUGAGGGCUACAUGCAAAGCACCUACAACCACCCAAAUGUGCCACAUAGGAUAUGUGGAAGAAUCUAUUCAAAAUAUCUACAAGCAUGAGAAAAAAUAUAAUACAAAGGAGUUUCACACAGAAAGAUCUACAGCUGCUAACUUGGACGAAAAUAUCAGUUUUCAGGGACUUAGUGAAAAUCUCAGAUUCUCACUAACUGUUUAUGCUCUGGAGCAUUUUGACAGCACCCAAAACAAUAUAUACAGGAAGCCAAAUGGAAUGAAAAUUGACAGAGAGCUAGACAAACACAAAAGCUACAACUUCCCAGUUGAUUGCAGGGGCUGAUUCCCGACACAUGAACUUCUACAAGCACAACUACAAGGGAAGAAAAUAACAGCAGUCUCUCAAAACUGGAAUUUUCAGCCACUAGGCACAACUUGCAGAUAUGAAGUCCUAAGCAUAAAACAAAACCAACAUGCUACAGAGGGGUUCACCCUCUACUGCCACAACAAGGAAUGAACCUCUUGGGCUCACCACAUCUCAUGGAACCAAGCUCUAAACAUGGAACAAAACAGAAAUAUGGCAUUCCCAGAAAGUGUUCCAAAGUGGAAUCUGAACCCACCAUUGGAUUCCUGGGAUGAUUCUACCCCAAAAACAUAUAUAAUACAUAGGCACUUUCAUAGAACAAUUGGGCACAAAGCUAAGAAGAAGAUUUACAUGGAAUCACAUAGAGAUGAAUAGUGCAUCAUCACAUGUGCUUCCACUAGCUCAUCACCUACACAUGCAUAUGCACACACUCACAUAUCCAAUGAUGCACAUGAGGGGUGGACCUCAUGUUCAUGUGCCUUAGCACACGACCACACACCCACAUACAUCAAGCAUAAACAUAGCAACACCUACACAUGCUAGUAUCACACACACUAGCUUACACUCACAUAAGCAUCUCUACACCUACACAUACUAACUUGCACAUGAGCUUAUCAAGGCACACCAUGCCUUGGCAUGUAUGAGACACACACACACAAGCACACUCAACAUCACUUGAUCCACUAACACACACACAAGGUAUGUGGGGGAAAGCCCCCCCCCCCCACACACACAAGAUCACAUACUAGCACAAGCUAGUGCAUCAGCUCCACAUCAUGCACAUAAGUCACACACACACACACACUCACAUGCAUAACUAUUCUAGUGCAAACCACAAGCUAAUACACACACACAUGCAUGAUAUCUAGCUCACAUAACACAUAUGCACUCAAGCCUACACAAGCAUUUCUACCAUGGUAGCAAAAAUAUACUAGAGACAACAUGCUGUUGUGAGGAGAAAUAAAAAUACCCCACAUGGUGACAAAGCAAGCUAUAGCACCAAGCUUGCAAGCAAAAGGGAAAAUAGCAAGGUAUAAGCAAAAAAACAAAAGGGCUUCGAAGGGAUUCGAACCCAGGUGCCCCUGGACAGACACACACACAAGCUAACCAACCUGCUACUGCACAUAUGCACGUCAGAUCAGGGGAGUUAUACAAAGUAUGCCAUCCCCCUGCGCUGCUGUGGUACUGCGUCGAAACCAGAAUUAAAAAGGGGUUGCUCCGUGGGGUGUCGAUCCCACGACCGCCUGAUCACCACAUCACAUGCAAACCACUGCGCUACUGUAUGAGAAUUGACAGAGGGGAGGGGGUUUCCCUUUUGGGUACCACUCUCUCCUCCUGCAAUAGUGACGAUGCUGCAGUGCUCACCUGAGCAAGGCCUCUACCCUACUGCUGCGCCAGAGGUAAAAAAACUACGGCUACUACUCCUAACACGUUGGAACAACUGCUCUAUGGGAAGCCCCUGAGCACCGACGAGCCGAGCACAACUACACAAAGAACAACCACACACAACAGCACCUGCAAUUCGUGCUCAUCUCUGAACAGAGACACGACAAUGAUCUCCUACUGCGCAUCUACCGAGGGGGAAGGGACGAAGGGAGUAGGCUCACCUAGGGGAAGGAGAAGAGGUCGAUCCGAUCGGAGGGAGAAGCUUGGAGACGAUGCGACGCCGAUCUGAUGCAGACCAAAGUAGGGGAAGAGGAACACCGGGAACACGUCGGAGAAGAGGAACUGCUCGUCGGUGUGGUUGCUCCCCUUCCUCACCGACAACGGGAAUGGAACGCGGGGGCUACCCCCGAGCUCCCGGACAUGCUGGUCGGCGCCGGAGGCGACGUAUGCACGGACGACGACGGUGGCGCGCUACUGUCCUCUCUCUGCAACCUGAUCUACAGAGAGCUUACCUAGGGAGGAAGAAAGAGAUGGAGGGAGGUGGCGGCGCUAGCAGUGGGAAAGGC
rnacentral:lncRNA from 1 species